rnacentral:snRNA from 1 species
AGCUUUGCGCAAUGGCAGUAUCACAGCCAAUGAGGUUUAUCCGAGGCACGAUUAUUGCUAAUUUUUUAAAAAAUGCAAAUUUUUAGUCUUUGCCCCAAA